UCCAGGGGGGCAGACUACACAUGCAGUCGAGCGAACCUUCGGGUUAGCGGCGGACGGGUGAGUAACGCGUGGGAACGUACCCUCUUCUGCGGGAUAGCCACUGGAAACGGUGAGUAAUACCGCAUACGCCCUUCGGGGGAAAGAUUUAUCGGAGGAGGAUCGGCCCGCGUUGGAUUAGGUAGUUGGUGGGGUAAUGGCCUACCAAGCCUACGAUCCAUAGCUGGUUUUAGAGGAUGAUCAGCCACACUGGGACUGAGACACGGCCCAGACUCCUACGGGAGGCAGCAGUGGGGAAUCUUAGACAAUGGGCGCAAGCCUGAUCUAGCCAUGCCGCGUGAGUGACGAAGGCCUUAGGGUCGUAAAGCUCUUUCGCCAGAGAUGAUAAUGACAGUAUCUGGUAAAGAAACCCCGGCUAACUCCGUGCCAGCAGCCGCGGUAAUACGGAGGGGGUUAGCGUUGUUCGGAAUUACUGGGCGUAAAGCGCACGUAGGCGGAUUGGAAAGUUGGGGGUGAAAUCCCAGGGCUCAACCCUGGAACUGCCUCCAAAACUCCCAGUCUGGAGUUCGAGAGAGGUGAGUGGAAUUCCGAGUGUAGAGGUGAAAUUCGUAGAUAUUCGGAGGAACACCAGUGGCGAAGGCGGCUCACUGGCUCGAUACUGAC
rnacentral:rRNA from 1 species